rnacentral:rRNA from 1 species
GACGUAGGUGGCGAACGUUAUCCGGAAUCAUUGGGCGUAAAGGGUGCGUAGAUGGCAUGAUAAGUUAUUAGUGGGAAAUCGAGGCUCAACCUCGUGGAAGCUAGUAAUACUGUUUUGCUUGAGUACAGGAGAGGUUAACGGAACUCCAUGUGGAGCGGUAAAAUGCGUAGAUAUAUGGAAGAACACCAAUAACGGCGAAGGCAGUUAACUAUUCUGUUACUGACAUUGAGGCACGAAAGCGUGGGGAGCAAAACGG